rnacentral:rRNA from 1 species
UACGGAGGGUGCAAGCGUUAUCCGGAUUCACUGGGUUUAAAGGGUGCGUAGGCGGGCAGGUAAGUCAGUGGUGAAAUCUCCGAGCUUAACUCGGAAACUGCCGUUGAUACUAUUUGUCUUGAAUACUGUGGAGGUAAGCGGAAUAUGUCAUGUAGCGGUGAAAUGCGUAGAUAUGACAUAGAACAGCAAGGGCGAAGGCAGCUUACUACACAGCGAUUGACGCUGAGGCACGAAAGUGUGGGGAUCAAACAGG